rnacentral:piRNA from 1 species
UAGAAUUGUAAACUUCUCUGUUCAGGAUG